CAAGUCCGGUCCAGGUCAGGAGUAGCGUCUGCCUGGUAGCGAGUGUUGCGGCGCGGAAGGCAACGACCGCGGCGAAGCAUACAACAGUGAUUGCAUGGAGUGUGGGAUUGAGCCACGAAAUGGGAUCGAUGCAGGUGGAGACGGUGUUGGAUGAUCCGAAGACUCGCAAUUGCAGCGGCAUUGGCCGGCGUUGUCGGCCUUGGCGUAUUCUGGGUCCU
rnacentral:ncRNA from 2 species